rnacentral:rRNA from 1 species
GACGAACGCUGGCGGCGUGCUUAACACAUGCAAGUCGAACGGAAAGGCCCUGCUUUUGUGGGGUGCUCGAGUGGCGAACGGGUGAGUAACACGUGAGUAACCUGCCCUUGACUUUGGGAUAACUUCAGGAAACUGGGGCUAAUACCGGAUAGGAGCCCCUGCUGCAUGGUGGGGGUUGGAAAGUUUCGGCGGUUGGGGAUGGACUCGCGGCUUAUCAGCUUGUUGGUGGGGUAGUGGCUUACCAAGGCUUUGACGGGUAGCCGGCCUGAGAGGGUGACCGGCCACAUUGGGACUGAGAUACGGCCCAGACUCCUACGGGAGGCAGCAGUGGGGAAUAUUGCACAAUGGGCGGAAGCCUGAUGCAGCAACGCCGCGUGCGGGAUGACGGCCUUCGGGUUGUAAACCGCUUUCGACUGUGACGAAGCGUGAGUGACGGUAAUGGGUAAAGAAGCACCGGCUAACUACGUG